AGAGUUUGAUCCGUGGCUCAGGACGAACGCUGGCGGCGUGCUUAACACAUGCAAGUCGACGGAAAGGCCCUGCUUUUGUGGGGUGCUCGAGUGGCGAACGGGUGAGUAACACGUGAGUAACCUGCCCUUGACUUUGGGAUAACUUCAGGAAACUGGGGCUAAUACCGGAUAGGAGCUCCUGCUGCAUGGUGGGGGUUGGAAAGUUUCGGCGGUUGGGGAUGGACUCGCGGCUUAUCGGCUUGUUGGUGGGGUAGUGGCUUACCAAGGCUUUGACGGGUAGCCGGCCUGAGAGGGUGACCGGCCACAUUGGGACUGAGAUACGGCCCAGACUCCUACGGGAGGCAGCAGUGGGGAAUAUUGCACAAUGGGCGGAAGCCUGAUGCAGCAACGCCGCGUGCGGGAUGACGGCCUUCGGGUUGUAAACCGCUUUCGCCUGUGACGAAGCGUGAGUGACGGUAAUGGGUAAAGAAGCACCGGCUGACUACGUG
rnacentral:rRNA from 1 species